rnacentral:rRNA from 1 species
UACAGAGGUCUCAAGCGUUGUUCGGAUUCAUUGGGCGUAAAGGGUGUGUAGGUGGCGCGCUAAGUCGGGUGUGAAAUUUCGGAGCUUAACUCCGAAACUGCAUUCGAUACUGGCGUGCUUGAGGACUGGAGAGGAGACUGGAAUUCAUGGUGUAGCAGUGAAAUGCGUAGAGAUCAUGAGGAAGACCAGUGGCGAAGGCGGGUCCCUGGACCAUCACUGACGCUGAGACACGAAAGCGUGGGUAGCAAACAGG